rnacentral:rRNA from 1 species
GACGAACGCUGGCGGCGCGCUUAACACAUGCAAGUCGAACGGAGAAUUUUAUUUCGGUGAAAUUCCUAGUGGCGAACGGGUGAGUAACGCGUAGACAACCUACCUCUCAGAUGGGGACAACAUCGCGAAAGCGGUGCUAAUACCGAAUGAUGUAACUUUUCUGCAUGGAAGAGUUACCAAAGGCGGCCUCUAUUUAUAAGCUGUCACUGAGAGAUGGGUCUGCGUCUGAUUAGCUAGUUGGCGGGGUAAUGGCCCACCAAGGCGACGAUCAGUAGCCGGUCUGAGAGGAUGAACGGCCACAUUGGGACUGAGACACGGCCCAAACUCCUACGGGAGGCAGCAGUGGGGAAUCUUCCGCAAUGGACGAAAGUCUGACGGAGCAACGCCGCGUGAGUGAAGAAGGUUUUCGGAUCGUAAAGCUCUGUUGUUUGAGACGAACGUGCAAUUUUUGAAUAAGGAAUUGUAAUGACGGUAUUAAACGAGAAAGCCACGGCUAACUACGUGCCAGCAGCCGCUGUAA